CAAGCAUCAAUUAGUUGUUAAGCAUGUUUGUUGGCGUCUGAUUUGACCUGCAUUUAUCUAAUUGUUAGGUCUGCUCUGGCGAAUUUGGAGCCAACCCAUCAUUGCUGGAAGCGGAAAGAAUGCACAUGACAUGGUUACUACGCGUUAACAAGAAUGUUUGAUUGACAUUUUCACAUUCUACGGCUGGUUAAACUUUUCAGAGAACGGAAAUCUACUGCUUCCCGGAUUUACUAGAACACUAGCCUCUCCGGCCUCCUCUCCACAGCCCUUUCUCGCCGAUUUGGAGCUUCGAUCGGAAGAAUUUGUGUUUCGAAGAGUCGGACUCUGGAGAUUCCGCUGGAGAUUCAGGGUUGGAUGGUUUGAAGACUGGACAUCCUUCGGAAGGAAAAGGCCACUGAAGCUGCUCAUCCUAGUGAAGAGGUGAUAGUCAUUUCUUUUGGCAGGACAUAUGAACAAACUGUGCUGUGCCUUAUGUAUGUAUGACCAAACCAAUUAACCUUAAUUGAGCAAAUCAUGCUAGAUGCUGAGCUACAUGCUGGAAUGACAUAUUAAGAAGAUGGUUUUCUCCUCAUUAUGGGAUGAUUAUUUCUAGUUAUCAUUAUAUAAAUAUGGCACUUGCUUAUAUCUAUUUUUGGUGUAGCUAAACAGAGCCUCACAUCCAGGUCAAGAGAAAAUCUUUAACUUUAUGAAUCAAUCUGGCGUCCCCCCAAAUCAACUGAUAUGGGUUUUACCAUAUCACCAUGUCACCUAUAGCAGCAUCUAGCUCCUGAUUGUUACUGUUUGCUAAAAAACGACCUCUGUGUGUAACCAAAUACUGAAGCUAUAGAAAAAUGUAAGCAGUAUUUGGAGGCAAUUAGUUGGCCAGAAGUAAUAAAAAUUUCAAAAUACAAACACCCAGUAAUCAGGAAAAUCCCAGAGACACUGCUCAAUUCUGUUUGUUGAUAAAACAUGAUUAAACUUGGUUCGAGUUUUUUUGGCUAUAAUUUGGAAAAUUAGAUAAAUUCAGAAAAAAUUCUAGUGC